UACGAGGGGAGCAAGCGUUGUUCGGAUUUACUGGGCGUAAAGGGCGCGUAGGCGGUCGUGACAAGUCACUUGUGAAAUCUCCGGGCUUAACUCGGAACGGUCAAGUGAUACUGUCGGACUAGAGUACAGAAGGGGCAACUGGAAUUCUCGGUGUAGCGGUGAAAUGCGUAGAUAUCGAGAGGAACACCUGCGGCGAAGGCGGGUUGCUGGGCUGAUACUGACACUGAGAGACGAAAGCUAGGGGAGCGAAUGGG
rnacentral:rRNA from 1 species